UACGGAGGGGACUAGCGUUGUUCGGAAUUACUGGGCGUAAAGAGCUUGUAGGCGGUUUGUCGCGUCUGCUGUGAAAUUUCGGGGCUCAACCCCGAACUUGCAGUGGGUACGGGCAGACUAGAGUGUGGUAGGGGAGACUGGAAUUCCUGGUGUAGCGGUGAAAUGCGCAGAUAUCAGGAGGAACACCGGUGGCGAAGGCGGGUCUCUGGGCAACAACUGACGCUGAGGAGCGAAAGCGUGGGGAGCGAACAGG
rnacentral:rRNA from 1 species